rnacentral:rRNA from 1 species
AUUGAACGCUGGCGGCAGGCCUAACACAUGCAAGUCGAACGGUAACAGGAAGAAGCUUGCUUCUUUGCUGACGAGUGGCGGACGGGUGAGUAAUGUCUGGGAAACUUCCUGAUGGAGGGGGAUAACUACUGGAAACGGUAGCUAAUACCGCAUAAUGUCGCAAGACCAAAGAGGGGGACCUUCGGGCCUCUUGCCAUCGGAUGUGCCCAGAUGGGAUUAGCUAGUAGGUGGGGUAACGGCUCACCUAGGCGACGAUCCCCAGCUGGUCUGAGAGGAUGACCAGCCACACUGGAACUGAGACACGGUCCAGACUCCUACGGGAGGCAGCAGUGGGGAAUAUUGCACAAUGGGCGCAAGCCUGAUGCAGCUAUGCCGCGUGUAUGAAGAAGGCCUUCGGGUUGUAAAGUACUUUCAGCGGGGAGGAAGGGAGUAAAGUUAAUACCGUUGCUCAUUGACGUUACCCGCAGAAGAAGCACCGGCUAACUCCGUG